rnacentral:rRNA from 1 species
UACGUAGGUGGCAAGCGUUGUCCGGAUUUACUGGGCGUAAAGAGCGCGCAGGCGGUCGUUCAAGUCGCGUGUGAAAGCCCCCGGCUCAACUGGGGAGGGUCACGCGAUACUGAUCGACUCGAAGGCAGGAGAGGGUAGUGGAAUUCCCGGUGUAGUGGUGAAAUGCGUAGAUAAUCGGGAGGAACACCGGUGGCGAAGGCGGCAUCCUGGACCGGCAUUGACGCUGAGGCGCGAAAGCUAGGGGAGCAAGCGGGG